UACGAAGGGUGCAAGCGUUAAUCGGAAUUACUGGGCGUAAAGCGUGCGUAGGUGGUUUCUUAAGUCUGCUGUGGAAGCCCUGGGCUCAACCUGGGAAUGGCGGUGGAUACUGAGGAGCUAGAGUGCGGUAGAGGAGGGUGGAAUUCCCGGUGUAGCGGUGAAAUGCGUAGAGAUCGGGAGGAACAUCAGUGGCGAAGGCGGGUCUCUGGGCCGAAACUGACGCUGAGGAGCGAAAGCGUGGGGAGCAAACAGG
rnacentral:rRNA from 1 species